CGAUACACACGUUGAAACAUUAUGCCGAACGCCCGCGGACAUAAAUAAACGCAAGUCGUAAUCGCGUUUAUUCGAUUGGUAUUAUGGGCUAUAUACGACUAUAUACGACUUGAAAAAUGCGACGUGAAUACCAUACGGAACUAUUGAGACAGUACGCGUUUAAAAAAAUUCUUUAAAAUACGAUUUCCCGUAUAAGCGUUUAAAUGUUCGGAAACAUUAAUAUUUUAGGACUGAUUAUCGACCGGUACAAUACGAGUAUGUUUUAUACCAACAUAAACGAACACUCGAAUUUCGCGUAUAUGGGUGCCUAUGAAAAUGUGCAAUAUAAUAACACAAUCGG